GAAGACGACAAUCAUCUCUUUAUUAUCCCAACUAAUAAGAUGACAUCAAGACACAAAAUAAUGAGAGAACUAUCCUUAAUUAAACCAUUUGGCAUGCAAACAAUGAUCUUCUUUAACCAUCAUAAAUCUAUUAAAAAGAACAACAUCAUGAAAUCCAAUGUACUACUACUUAAAUGAUUGCUUCAAAUCACAAGUGGACCUUUAGGGGUUGUUAAUGAUUAUGUUAAUGAAAACUUCAAUAUCAUGAGUUAGUGCAAAACAUAAAAAUAAAGUAAAAUCACAAAAAGAGGCACACAUAGUUUUAACAUAAUUUAAUCAAACAUAUAGACAUCCUUGAAAGAGAUACUCAUUCCGGUUAUGCCAUACAAAAUAUCAUAGAGUAAAGAAAAAUCAAAUACAACUAUUAAGCUCCAAAACAUUUUAUGUUUCAUAUUCCUUUUAUUAAUAUCCUAAACUAGAAGUCCUCACUUUAUUGGCUGUCUCCCACCUCUUCUCAUCUCCUUAAAUAUUUAUGAAAGAUAUUUUUAAUGAAUUUCCUUAUCUAAUAUCUAGUUUUACUAGGAACUCCCAAUAUAUAAAAUAUUUUAUAUAUAACUUUCUUUAAGAAAAGAGCAUAUAUCACAUAAGAAUUUGCGACAUUUUUCAACAAUCUCCAUCUUGACUCAAAGUUCCAAACUUAUAAACAUCUUCACAUGUACAUUCCCCAAUGUACUAAAUUGUACUCCUUUAUAGGUUAGAGUAUUCAACUUGUGCACAACAGUCAUUAAUGGAGGUCGACAUAUAUCUUUAACCACCAAGUAAUACAACUUAGGAAGACCCCUAUAUAUUUUGAAGCAAACUCUUUACUAAUGGUACAAACAUUUUGAUGUAUUCAUGCUAUUUCACUGAUUUGUGUGAUGUGAAUAUGACUAUUGUAUCUAUUUUAGACAACGAUGAAUCUUUAAUUGUACUCACUUUAUAUACUAAUAAUCUAUUGAUUGCUCUCAAUAGUAAGCUAUAAAUUGAGAAAUUAAAGUACAUGUUGAGUAUUAAUGAGUUCAAUAUAAAAGAUGAUGGGGUUUUAAAGAAAAAUGUUGGUAUUGAAAUACAAAGAGAUAAAAAAAGCUAGAGGUGAAUUUUUAUAACAACCUGGAUAUUAAGUGGGAGAAAAUUGUAUGAAUUUGAUUUUGGAUGUAUCCUAAAUCCGCAAACUGCCAGAGCACCUACGUCAGCUAAUUGGAAGCUUGCUUCUCCCCAACGUUCCCGUGCUGGGCCAGUGUGGGAGCCACGCCCGUGAGAAACCAAGAAAAAGGUGAUGCAAAGCAAAAGCACCCGAAUAUGCUUUGCUCUCCCCUGCAAAUAUCCCUUCUCUCUUUCCUACUACCAUGAUCAUCAUCCUCAUCAUUUCUCUAUAAUACUACACCUAUUUCACACACACUCUCUCUCGUUAUCUGAUUUUGGGAACUAUGGAGCUUGCUCAGGAGCUCUUGUUCACAGUUUCUCUUGCUCUCCUCUUCUCUUUUCUUGUGGCCAAACUCGUCUCCCUGGCCAUGGCUGCUGACUUGAAGAGCGCCCAGAAUGUGGAUGAUCACAUCGUUGCCAAUGAGGUUAGGUUUGUAGAAACCGAGACUAGGGUGGAAUCUGUUGAUGGAGGAUCGGGUCUGGUUGAGGAAACUUGUGAAAUUACGCGUGGCGGUGAAGUGCCGGUUUUGCCUUCGGAGGAGGAAGUGUCGGAGAUUGUUGAAUUGCCGGAAAAUUCACCGAGGGAAAGGUCGGGGCAUGAGAUAAUGGGUUUUUUUUUGUAUCUCUACUUAGGAAAGUAUUUUCCAAGCAAUCGACAUCUCAUGACUAAAUUUGAGUUACUCUCGUCAAUUUGUUGAUUGAUCAUUAUAUAUCCCUUUCAUUUAUUAAAUUAUCCUAUGAACACCCACUUAAUUUGUUGAAGGCCCAAUACCCCAUGUUGAUGGGAAUUAGUUUGAAUAUGUCUUAUUGAUCCUCGAGGUUGGAAGUAAGCUAGGUAAGGCUUCUUAUCAGUCCAAAACUCAUACAGGGUUGAAAGAAUUUAAUUUUGAGAGCAUUUGGCUUAAGAUGUGGGUCAUAGUCAAAAGAGUAUUUUCAAAAGGAUAUUAGGAGGUUGGUUUAUGCUAUCAUCGACCUAAUCAUAUCCAAAAGUAAGAUUUAUUGUAGCAACCUUGCUCAAACGAGGUCACUUCAAAUCUAAAUUCGAGAAGGAAUUUAUUAUCUCAAUGGGUGAAAAUAAAUCUCUUUUAACAAAGUUUUGAAAACCUUUAAAGGAGGUUUG
rnacentral:lncRNA from 1 species